UAGAGUUUGAUCCUGGCUCAGAAUCAACGCUGGCGGCGUGCCUAACACAUGCAAGUCGAGCGAGAAAAGGGGGGCAACUCCCUGAGUACAGCGGCGCACGGGUGAGUAACACGUGGGUAAUCUGCCCUGGAGUGGGGAAUAACACCGGGAAACCGGUGCUAAUACCGCAUACGAUCACGGAGUCUUCGGAUUUUGUGAUGAAAGGAGCAAUUCGCUCUAGGAGGAGCCCGCGGCUGAUUAGCUAGUUGGUGAGGUAAUGGCUCACCAAGGCUUCGAUCAGUAUCCGGUCUGAGAGGACGGUCGGACACACUGGAACUGAGACACGGUCCAGACUCCUACGGGAGGCAGCAGUGGGGAAUUUUUCGCAAUGGGGGCAACCCUGACGAAGCAACGCCGCGUGGGUGAUGAAGUCUCUUGGGACGUAAAACCC
rnacentral:rRNA from 1 species